rnacentral:rRNA from 1 species
CUACGGGAGGCAGCAGUGGGGAAUAUUGCACAAUGGGCGCAAGCCUGAUGCAGCCAUGCCGCGUGUAUGAAGAAGGCCUUCGGGUUGUAAAGUACUUUCAGCGGGGAGGAAGGGAGUAAAGUUAAUACCUUUGCUCAUUGACGUUACCCGCAGAAGAAGCACCGGCUAACUCCGUGCCAGCAGCCGCGGUAAUACGGAGGGUGCAAGCGUUAAUCGGAAUUACUGGGCGUAAAGCGCACGCAGGCGGUUUGUUAAGUCAGAUGUGAAAUCCCCGGGCUCAACCUGGGAACUGCAUCUGAUACUGGCAAGCUUGAGUCUCGUAGAGGGGGGUAGAGUUCCAGGUGUAGCGGUGAAAUGCGUAGAGAUCUGGAGGAAUACCGGUGGCGAAGGCGGCCCCCCGGACGAAGACUGACGCUCAGGUGCGAAAGCGUGGGGAGCAAACAGGAUUAGAUACCCGCGUAGUC